UUAUUAUUUUCAAAUGCCUUUUUUUAAUUUUUAUUUUAUAUUAUUUUCAAUUAUUAAAUAACCUACUCUCUCGGUUUUGUCUAAAAUCUGACGUGAUAGUUCUUUUACAUGAAUUCUCGGAAUAUGAUGUUUUUUUAUUAAUUUUUUUAAUUUUUAAUUAAUCUAUUCCCUCGGUUUUUCCUAAAAACCGACGUGUAUGUUCUUUUGCAUGAAUACUUCACAGAACUAGCUCUAACUUUUCAUUUACCUAUCAACACUCCUUGUUUCAU
rnacentral:lncRNA from 1 species